rnacentral:rRNA from 1 species
UACGGGGGGGGCAAGCGUUGUUCGGAAUUACUGGGCGUAAAGGGCGCGUAGGCGGCCUUCUAAGUCGAACGUGAAAUCCCCGGGCUCAACCCGGGAACUGCGUCCGAUACUGGAAGGCUUGAAUUCGGGAGAGGGAUGCGGAAUUCCAGGUGUAGCGGUGAAAUGCGUAGAUAUCUGGAGGAACACCGGUGGCGAAGGCGGCAUCCUGGACCGGCAUUGACGCUGAGGCGCGAAAGCCAGGGGAGCAAACGGG